GUCCUACCUGUCUGGUUUUUAUGAGGCUGAGAUCACACUGAUUCUGUGUAUUACAAAAUAUUUUAAUGCAUUUUUAGGAUAAAUAGCAUACAUAAAGUACACAAUUUAAAAAGGCACAAAAAAACGGCAGGCAGGGAAAAAUCAAUUUCUCCCCUGACUCUCACCACCCAGUGUUCUCCCAUCCAGAUCUCCUUCCAGAGCGGUCCAGGGCUCCCCCUUAUCCAUGUUUUGAGUGAGUUAAUAGCCUUUGACCCUUCAAGAUUCUCAGGAAUGAAAAAUUGUCUGUAAGGUCAAAUCAUGUCUCUAAUAUAAUGUACUAUACUGAUAAAAGAUAAAAUUAUACCACCUCGAUGCCAGUCACAGAACCAGAACUAUAUCCUGCAACUCUUCUUAAAGAACAUUCUGAACUGACAAAGGCAGCCGAAGGUACUCAACAGUGAUAGCAUCCUUUAACAGAUCUCUGUGCCAGAGAUUUCCCUGAGGGGUUCCCAGGGAUGCCACCAUGGUUCCCAAAGCUCAGACCUUGAAGUCAGAGUCUGUGUGAAUCUGGAUUGCAGUGACUGUGACAUUAACCUCAGGCCCACGUCCCUGGAGGCAGGCCCCUUCUUCCCCCAAAGCUCAGAGCUGGCAAGGAUAUCCUCACCUUGUUCUGCCCUCGGGUAUCUGCUGGGCUAGGAGGUGUGGGGAGAGUGGGUGGAGUAAUUCCAGCUCCAAUGGAGCAGUUUCUAAAAAGUCAUUUCCAUAAAAUAUAGCUUCAAAGAGAGAAAGCCAUUCUGCACUUACCCAGACUAUGUCUUCUUCAAACUCACCUCCCGACACUACAUGUUAAGAAGUGGAAGAGUGGCCCAGGGUUUCCCUGGAGAUCUGGUGCCAUGCACUGUUCCAUGGGCUUACAUGAUCACAAAUCUGCCCCCUCUGAGUGUGCACCAGACAGCACCUUACUGCGGAUUUUCUCCCUGGCAGGAUGUUUCAAGGGUUUUUCAGGAAUGGGCUGCAAUUUGGAAGUUUAUGUGCCAGUGCAGUGAAUUUCUCUCUCUGCUCUCUCUCCUUGCCUCCCAGGAUCCAUCUGAUAAAGUUGCAGAGGCAUCUUGGAUUUACAACACCCCCUGCCAGCCCCUCACUGAACCACACAUCAUCUGCAGCAGGAGGCGUUGGAUUACAUUUGGCUGGAGCGCCCGCAUCAACUCCAGUUGUCCCUGAAUUGGAACUGAUGGGCCUCACGUGCCACAGCCAACAGUUUGUCUUCACCCACUCCCCUCUCUGGAAUGAACCUUUCUCUGGGAAAACAAGAAACCUACGUGCCAUCCUGGGUGAGAGACAAACAGGAGCUGCAUCCCAGGAUCGCAUCCCCAGUAUGAUGGGUUCCCCACAGCAAGCCACACUUCAAGCAUCUCUGGAAAGACCUUCUGAACCACAGGACACAAAUGCUCCCUCUGGAGGACCGGAGCCUCUGUGUUCCUCUCAGCUCACAGGCAUCCAUUCUUCCUGCAUUCAGGCUCCUUGA
rnacentral:lncRNA from 1 species